rnacentral:rRNA from 1 species
AUGUGGGAUUUCACCGCUUUCAACUUUUAUCCCGUGAACUUCACCGCUCUGGGCAGCAACAUCUUCAUCGCGAGCAACAGGCACCCCGGCACCAUGGUGUACGACACGGAGACGGGCGGGCUGGCCAUCGGCCCUCUCCUCCCGGACCCGCUGCUCGGCGGCACCCGCGUCUUCGCGGCCACCGGCGACACGCAGCAGCUGUACGCGCUGAAGUACAGAAUCUGUGACAUGCAGCAGGCCUUCGAGGUGAUGUCCACGGCCUGCGUCGAGGAUUGGCAUCCCACCUCUUUCCCAAACCCAAGCCAGGACUGGUCGUGGGCAACCGUCCCGUCGCCACCGCCAUUCCCCAAGGAUUCCCUGAUCACCGCCUACGCCAUGCACCCGGACGGACGCACUCUCUUCGUGUCUUGUGGAAGCAACCACGACACACACCACCACCACACCUACUCCUUCGACACCAAGAACCAUAAAUGGAGGUCUCAUGGCGACUGGGCGUUGCCUUUCCAAAAUCAGGGCUACUUCGACGGCGAGCUGGACGCGUGGGUCGGCCUUCGCAAGGACGGCUACGUCUGCGCCUGCCGGGUGCCGUCCCGCAGCAGAACGCUCGCCGCGCAGCCGGACUGGAAGAUGGCAAAGGAGGAGCUCUUCCUCGAGCACCCGGGGAGCAUGGGUGCCACCCUCACGCACAUGGGGAACGCCAGGUUUUGCCUUGUGGAGACGGAGGAACUGGAGUUUGACGGCUUCAUGCUCUAUAUCACCAUUUUUGGUCUCAAGUACAACCAUGAGGGAGAGCUGCAACCCACCGCCCGUCGCACCACCAAAUCAUGUCGACUGCAUAGGAAUCUCCUGCAGUUUUCGCCUGUGGCGUUCUGGUUAUAG